CAAUUUCCUUCCUCUGAUACAUUCGGUGUAAUUUUAACCAUUCCCAUGGCAGAUUCUAUUCCCACCGUGGAUCUACGCAUCUCCAUCUGUUACGGUGGUCACAGUGAGUUUGUAGUUAAUCAUGAUAAGUGUUUCCACUGCUCUUGAUGAAUCUAACUUGGAGAUGCCUUGGAAAUCUUUGAUAAAAACUCCCUCCCACAUGGCCCCUGAAGACGUGAUUCAUGUUGUCAUCUUGAAAAGUUUCUAAUUUUGUCUUCUGACCAAGGGAAAAUUAAAAACGCUCCCACAUGUCGUCAAAAGUUCUGAUUUCAUGUGAUCAUCUUGAAAGUUUC
rnacentral:lncRNA from 1 species